rnacentral:rRNA from 1 species
AGUGAACGCUGGCGGUAGGCCUAACACAUGCAAGUCGAACGGCAGCACAGUAAGAGCUUGCUCUUACGGGUGGCGAGUGGCGGACGGGUGAGGAAUACAUCGGAAUCUACUUUUUCGUGGGGGAUAACGUAGGGAAACUUACGCUAAUACCGCAUACGACCUACGGGUGAAAGCAGGGGAUCUUCGGACCUUGCGCGAUUGAAUGAGCCGAUGUCGGAUUAGCUAGUUGGCGGGGUAAAGGCCCACCAAGGCGACGAUCCGUAGCUGGUCUGAGAGGAUGAUCAGCCACACUGGAACUGAGACACGGUCCAGACUCCUACGGGAGGCAGCAGUGGGGAAUAUUGGACAAUGGGCGCAAGCCUGAUCCAGCCAUACCGCGUGGGUGAAGAAGGCCUUCGGGUUGUAAAGCCCUUUUAUUGGGAAAGAAAAGCAGCAGGUUAAUACCCCGCUGUUCUGACGGUACCCAAAGAAUAAGCACCGGCUAACUUCGU